GACGAACGCUGGCGGUGUGCUUAACACAUGCAAGUCGAACGGUAAGGCCCUUUCGGGGGUACACGAGUGGCGAACGGGUGAGUAACACGUGAGUAACCUGCCCUCAUCUCUGGGAUAACAGUCGGAAACGGUUGCUAAUACUGGAUAUGAGCUUGCAAGGCAUCUUGUGGGUUGGAAAGAUUUUUUUUGGUUGGGGAUGGACUCGCGGCCUAUCAGCUUGUUGGUGAGGUAGUGGCUCACCAAGGCUUCGACGGGUAGCCGGCCUGAGAGGGCGACCGGCCACAUUGGGACUGAGAUACGGCCCAAACUCCUACGGGAGGCAGCAGUGGGGAAUAUUGCACAAUGGACGGAAGUCUGAUGCAGCAACGCCGCGUGCGGGAUGACGGCCUUCGGGUUGUAAACCGCUUUCAAUUGUGACGAAGCUUUUUUGUGACGGUAGCAGGAGAAGAAGCACCGGCUAACUACGUG
rnacentral:rRNA from 1 species